rnacentral:misc_RNA from 1 species
AAACAUUGUGAAUUGGCAGGAUCCAACGAUAUGUACAAAGGUUAAAGAAUCUGUCCAUCUCAUAGUUCUUACAAAAGAAACCCACAAUCCAUGAUUGGGUUAGGAGAAGAAAAAAACACUCAUACCUAAUUAAUCAACGCUACAAAAAACCAAAAAAUGGUAUUUUCUGGCGUAAGAAAUCCCAUUUCAUGGAUGAUGCUCAAUUGUGGUGAUAGGAUCAAAUAGGAGAGGCAGAGGUGAAGCCAAACUUAUCAGAAAGCUUGGUUCGUGUAAAUGGUGAAAGAAGCUCCAUUUGAUGGAUAAAAUGCACAUCAUGAACUAAUGGAUUUUCUGUUCUUCCUGGAGGGGAUCCUGAGUAACAACAUGGUGAGCACCCACUGCAUAUGGAUUCUCUACCAUCAAUUGCCUGCAAUUUACUUGCACACAUUCAUCCCAAAACCAUUAGGACUAGCAACCCUUUAUCAAAAUUUUCAAUAAGAAGCUAUACUCUAAUGCUAAUGAAAAAGAAAAUUACCAACCUUAUCAGUAAUCAGGUUCAAAACUCCACUCCUUCCAUCAGAAAUUUGUUGGCUGAUUAUGAAGAACAUAAAUGACAAGUAAAUAAGGGCUGUGAUAUAUACAUUAAAGAGGAAAAGAAACAUAUGCAUUAACAAUAAACCUGUGCUUGCUACAUCUGAGGGGUCUGAGAAAUUCAGGUAUGGUAGAUCCAGGGCGGCGAGGCUUUGGGCAGAGGGGUUGGUUAUUGCCUCGAAAGCCAAGUUUGGUUGGGUCUGAACCUGAAUCAACGAAGUUACUUUUGACUGGUAGAUGAUGCAUGGUCUCUUUCUCCCUCAUAAACAAAGUCACAGUAAGCAAACAGAGAAGUAGUAACUCUGUGGUGAGUUGUAAUCCCAGUUUUAUGAUCAUCUCUUUAGCUCUCAUUGAAAAGGUAACAAAUGAAAACUACCCAUUUAUUUAAAGAUUAGCCACACUAUUGUAA